rnacentral:lncRNA from 1 species
CUUUGACUCAAUUUUGCGUAUUUUAUAAAAUUGGUGAUUUCAGAAAUGAGUGAAUAUCAAGAUGGCAAUAACAGGUUCAUAUCCAUGGAUACUGCUAUGACAGUUUUUCCAAAAAAAAUUGGAGGCAAUGAUUGGACAAUAGAACAGUAAACCAAAUUAAAAACAAAAAUUAAAUAACACUUUUUGGAAAAUGAUAUGUGAUUGAUUGUUUGUAUAUUUAAUGUCCAGUGGCAAAGUGUUCAUGCAUCUUCAGGACGAGAACACAUUAACAAUAAAUACAUAGGUAGGUAUUGCAAUAAAGGGGUCUAUAGCGAUGAUUGACGGGUAAUUUGGAAUGCCACUGAAAAAAGGGCAGCUUGGAUAAGUACAGAAAUUUAGUCCUGCAACUGGCCAUCUACGGACCCCUGAGUUGUUGAAAUGGGUUCUCAACCCACAAAGAGCGUGGCACUCUUUCUACAUGAGGCAUCUGUUUAACGUUUCCAUUUCUGACCGGACAUUACUGCAUAUUUAAACAUCCCGCAUAGCCAAACUGACUUCAUACUUUGACAAGGAUUUUUCUGUAAGUAGGAAGAACACCAAGGCUUGACCAUAUUUGUAUAUAUACCACAGUCAACACUAGGGUAAGCAUAUGAAAUAACCAAAAAUAUUUAUUGCUUAAAUGUUUAAAAAAAAACGUUAUAUUAGCAAUACGUUAUACAUGUUAUAUACUUUAUACGGCGGGGCUCAGUCUUUAUUUUCUUUGUUGUGUUUUGUGUACUGUUUUUGAUAUGUGUGUCUUUAUAAAACACAAAAUUAGAAAAAAAACAUAGAUAAAUAUUCAACUUUUAACAAAAAUUGUGUAAAACAA